ensembl:lncRNA TEKT4P2 tektin 4 pseudogene 2
CACUUCGCCAUUUUCCUCCGGAAGUGCGGAUCCCAGCGGCGGUCGUGUAGCUGAGCAGGCCUGGGGCUUGGUUCUAUGUCCCUGUAGCUAUGUUUCCAGUGUCCUCUGGGUGUUUCCAAGAGCAACAAGAAACGAAUAAAUCUCUGACCCUUCUCAGGUGCAGCCAGAGAGACACUAGCCCACUGAUGGACGGACAGACGUGGGCAGGGUCCGUGUCACUAAACCACCCACCACUGCCACAGCUGCCUACAACAGACACAUCAGAUGACACUCCGGGCAUAUAAAUGAUUUUCACUGAGGACUUACUGGUUUUAAUAAUAGGUCCUGGUGUAGAGAAGUCCCUCAACCUAUUGUGCAAUGAGUUUUGAGAAGCGGGUAAGCUGUAUGUUUUGUGGUUUUGUUUCAUAAAUGCAUCUACAGGAAGACCAAUAUUGACUGAAUGAAGCUUUCAUUUAAAGAGCUAAAAUAUGCUUUGUGUUUUUAUAUGUGGAUACUACUUUAAACCUAAUGACUAUUCAUUGUAUCAUAGCUUGUGAUGUAUUCUGCUCAUGGCUUUUAAGGUAAAUUGUGCCAUGAUCCACUGCCAUUCGAAUUGCUUUAACAAGUCAUUACCACACUACUGUUACAUCUUAAUUAUGCAUACAGACAGGUAGACUUAUUUUACAUAUGUGAACUAACUAGUUGUCAAAGCAAAUGCAGAUUGUAUUCUGCAAGUAAAGUCUUUUUCUCUCUGUAAUUUCUAGGGAUGUUCUUUAAGUGAAAUUCAUAUUCAAACUGAAGAUUUUAGUUACAAGAACUGAGUGCAGAUUAAAGUCUUUUGUGAUUCAAACAUAGUCAAGAGUACAACUGUGAUAUUUCAUGGAAGUUAUGCAAUAAAAUGUCUCUAACCUGUGAACAAAUCUAUCAAGCAGACGGCACAGUACUGAAUUUGAAACCAGAAAUACUGGGUUUUUAUAUAAAUGCUUCAUAGAUUUGUUUUAUGAUAAAGGGCACAUAACUCUCCUAAACCUCACACCACCUCUUGAAUAGGUAUAAUAAGUCCACAUCAAUGCUGAUGCCUUAGCUAUUAUUAAACUCUUACAGUAUGAUGUAAAGUGAAAGUACAAUGUAAGAUCAUUCCUAGGCCAACUUUGACCAGUUUUAUACAGAAACAUGUGCCAACUUUUCUGUUUGCAAGGAUAAUAUCAAAGCAAACACCAGAAAGUUAUAUCUUUGAUGCAUUUUUUCAAAAUCAUACACAUAAUACACAAACCAAAGACAAAUGAUGAAUAUUAUGUCAGAAAAUAUAAAGUCUUCUCCUUUCUUCUUUUGCCAAGAAAGUCCAAUAUUUUCACCAUUUUUAUGCACACAAUCAACUUUAUUUAAGCUGGAAGUUAAUGUCUCAUUGUUUUCAUUGUUCUAAAUAAACACCUUUUCCCUUGAGUAUUGCUCUAAAAAUUUUGAAGUUGUGUGAAAAAUUUUGUUCUGAUAUUUCACAUUUGUGCUAAUGAUAUGUGAAAAGGAAUACAGAUGGUAUUUAAUUAUGAACAGGAAAAGAUGUUAAAUAUCAUUAGUCAUUAGAAAUUUGCAAAUUAAGACCACAAUGACUAACACAUAUAUAUCAGAAUAGCUAAAAUAAAAAUAAAACAUCAAA